UCCAGUGUGCGUGCGUGAGGGCGUGGAGGCGAGGGCGUGAGGAGGUCCAGCCAAGUGAAGUGGGUUUAUCCUGUAGUUUACAUAGAUUGAGAUUCCAAGCACCGUGAGAGCAAGACAGAUGUGCCUCCCUCCCUCCCUCCCUCCCUCCCUCCCUCCAGAGCCGUAGCUCCUGCCAACACACCUGCUGGACACGACGGUUCCUGGAUCUCGGGCCGCUGUUCAGGGACGCGGUGGUUGACGGGCAAAUAACUGACUUCACUUGGACUCGAGACUUCCACCACCAUCACCACCAUGACGUCACGGGCAUUGUAGAAAAAAAGAAUUCAGAGAGACAGAGACAGAGACAGAGAGAAUUAACUUUGCCCUUUCUAAGCUAUAUAAGUAUUUAAGAGAGUGUAGUGUCUGGAAAAGUUAAGUGAUGAUGAGAAAUGAAUCUGUGUUGCAAGAAAGGAAAAACAAACGAAAGAUAAAAGAACGAGAUAGAAUGUAAUGAAAUCUGUGAACGUUAAGUUGAAACGCAGCGUGAUUAUGAAAUGCGCAGCAGACAAACACCAGUAAAUUAAUUAUGUCUGUUUGCCUGCAUGCGUGAAGGUAAUAUAUUAAUAAGAAAAUAAUAAACAAGAGCAAUUAUAUAAUUUUCCACAUUUAGAUCACAAACUUGAGUAUUUAAUGUGAAACGAUGAUGAUGUAGGUGCAGGAAUUACGUGUGUGUGUGUGUGUGUGUGUGUGUGUGUGUGUGUGUGUGUGUGUGUGUGUGUGUGUGUGUAUUGUGUGUGCUUGCAUAUUCCUUUUUGCUUUAGUUCUUGUUAUUUUGUUUUCCAAUAUUUCUGUGUCUUUGUUGAUUUAUAUCUUUAUAUAAUUCUCUGGAAAUGUCUAUCUGUUAGUGAGCUUGUACGUGUCUUUGUUUGUCUUGUCAUUGUCUGUCUUUAUAUAUACUUAUUUUUUUUUCUUGCGUGGGUGCGUCAGUCUGUCUGUUUGUCCUUCUGUCUGUAUGUCUGAGUCUGUCCACAUUUCGCUCACGUUAAGAGGCUGAAGGCAAUCACAGCAAUCACAUACUCACUCACUCAAACUCAGCCAAAAAACAAGCCAGCAAAUAAACACAUCAACAACC
rnacentral:lncRNA from 1 species